rnacentral:rRNA from 1 species
AAGUGGUACGCGAGCUGGGUUUAGAACGUCGUGAGACAGUUCGGUCCCUAUCUGCCGUGGGCGCUGGAGAACUGAGGGGGGCUGCUCCUAGUACGAGAGGACCGGAGUGGACGCAUCACUGGUGUUCGGGUUGUCAUGCCAAUGGCACUGCCCGGUAGCUAAAUGCGGAAGAGAUAAGUGCUGAAAGCAUCUAAGCACGAAACUUGCCCCGAGAUGAGUUCUCCCUGACUCCUUGAGAGUCCUGAAGGAACGUUGAAGACGACGACGUUGAUAGGCCGGGUGUGUAAGCGCAGCGAUGCGUUGAGCUAACCGGUACUAAUGAACCGUGAGGCUUAACCUUACAACGCCGAAGCUGUU